rnacentral:rRNA from 1 species
CGUGGUUAAUCUGCCCUUGGGACGGAAACACCCCCGGGAAACUGGGGCUAAUUUCCGAUAGGUGAAGACUCCUGGAAUGGAUCUUCGCCUAAAGGGCGCUUAGGCCAUGCUUCUAAGCGCUGCCCAAGGAUGGGACCGCGGCCGAUCAGGUUGUUGGUGAGGUAAUGGCUCACCAAGCCUUUAACCGGUUCGGGCCGUGGGAGCGGGAGCCCGGAGAUGGGCACUGAGACAAGGGCCCAGGUCCUACGGGGCGCAGCAGUCGCGAAAACUCCGCAAUACGCGAAGGCGUGACGGGGCUAUCCCGAGUGCCGUCCGCUGAGGAUGGCUUUUCCCCAGUGUAGAUAGCUGGGGGAAUAAGGAGAGGGCAAGUCUGGUGUCAGCCGCCGCGGUAAUACCAGCUCUCCGAGUGGUGGGGACGUUUAUUGGGCCUAAAGCAUCCGUAGCCAGCUGAGCAAGUCCCCAGUUAAAUCCAGCGAUUUAAUCGUUGGACUGCUGGGGAUACUGUCCGGCUAGGGGGUGGGAGAGGCCGACGGUAUUCCCGGGGUAGGGGUGAAAUCCUAUAAUCCCGGGAGGACCACCAGUGGCGAAGGCUGUUGGCUAAAACAUGCCCGACGGUGAGGGAUGAAAGCUGGGGGAGCGAACCGGAUUAGAUACCCGGGUAGUCCCAGCUGU